ACAACUCAAAGAUCGAAGUACAAUAGAGUUGCAUUGCAUAUAUAAUAGAUUUCUUUCUACUGUGUAAGUUUCCUGUCCAGAUUGUGUUGGAUAGCGUGUAUUAUCAUUAACGAAGUGAGUGUAUCGUUGUAUGUGAUAGCUUUAUACAAAUCACAUUUUCAAAACCAUAUAUUAAGCAUAUAAUUGCAUUAAGUUGCACUAUGGAUAAGGAGACUGAAGAAGAUCGAAAAGACAAUAAUUCAGAUGAAAAAACACAAAAGGUUUCUUCUGAAUCAUCAGACAUAGAAGACUCUGAAAUGGAAAGGUUACGUAGAUAUUUGGUUCAGAAAUUAAGACUUGUUGAUUUGUCAACGAGUAAUCAAAAUGAUCAGUCGCAACAAAGAGUUCUUCAUGAACUUAGCUUAGAUGGAAUUGUUAAGUUUAUUAAAGAAAAGCCAGAUUGUAAAAUCAUUACUAUGGCAGGUGCUGGAAUCUCUACUUCUGCUGGAAUACCAGAUUUCCGAUCUCCAUCCAGUGGACUUUAUCAUAAAUUAGAUAAAUAUAAUUUACCUUAUCCACAAGCUAUUUUUGAGUUAGAUUUUUUUAUGAAAGAUCCAGAACCAUUCUUCACACUUGCAAGAGAAUUAUUGCCAGAAGGAUUCCGACCUACAUUGAGUCAUUACUUUAUUCGUCUGUUAUGGGAAAAAGGUUUACUAUUACGACAUUAUACACAAAAUAUUGAUACAUUGGAACGUAUAGCCGGAUUACCUUCUGAGAAAUUAGUGGAAGCUCAUGGAACAUUUCAUACUGGUCGUUGUCUUAAAUGCCGAGCGCCAUAUAUGCUCACAUGGAUGAAAGAAAAAAUCAUAGAAGGCAUGAUACCAAAAUGUGAAGAAUGUAAUGAAGGUGUUGUAAAACCUGACAUAGUCUUUUUUGGUGAAACGUUACCUGAACGUUUUCAAGUACUUGCUGAUCGAGAUUUUGUACAAGCUGAUCUUUUAAUUAUUAUGGGAUCAAGUCUAGUAGUACAACCUUUUGCAUCAUUAAUAGACAGAGUGCGAACUACUUGUCCACGUCUGCUUAUCAACAAUGAAAAAGUAGGUAUGCAAGAUCGUUUAUCACGGUUCUUAGGACUACGACAAGGUUUAAUGUUUGAUACCAAGAGUGCGCAAGGAGGACGCGAUAUAGCUUGGCUGGGUGAUUGUGACACUGGUUGUCAACUGUUGGCAGAUAAACUUGGCUGGGGGGAUGAAUUGCGUAUUCUUAUGCAAAAAGAACAUGAUAAUUUGGAUGUAAAAAAUCGAAACGACAAUUAAUUGGGAAUAAUUGAAUAUUAUAUAAUGAGGAAAAGUUUUUCCUCUAAGAAGAAGUCAUUUUAUUGACAUAUUAUUUUAUCUCAAAAAUGUACUAAUACAAAAUUUUAGUUAAGCAUUAGGAAUUACCGAUUCAGCCUUUCCUAAUCCAUUAUUUAUUGUCGAACUGUAUAAGAAAUUCAAAAUACAUAAACGCUAAUGGGUUUUAUGGUAAAAUCAUUCAACAUGGAAAUUAGAAUAUAGAGGAAUAUUUUAUUUUUAUGGAUAUUAA